rnacentral:rRNA from 1 species
UACGGGAGGCAGCAGUGAGGAAUAUUGGUCAAUGGGCGCGAGCCUGAACCAGCCAUCCCGCGUGCAGGAUGACGGCCCUAUGGGUUGUAAACUGCUUUUCUACGCCAAGAAACGGUCCUACGUGUAGGGCACUGACGGUAGCGUAGGAAUAAGCAUCGGCUAACUCCGUGCCAGCAGCCGCGGUAA